rnacentral:rRNA from 1 species
CAGUAGCCGCGGUAAUACAGAGGGUGCGAGCGUUAAUCGGAUUUACUGGGCGUAAAGCGUGCGUAGGCGGCUUCUUAAGUCGGAUGUGAAAUCCCUGAGCUUAACUUAGGAAUUGCAUUCGAUACUGGGAAGCUAGAGUAUGGGAGAGGAUGGUAGAAUUCCAGGUGUAGCGGUGAAAUGCGUAGAGAUAUGGAGGAAUACCGAUGGCGAAGGCAGCCAUCUGGCCUAAUACUGACGCUGAGGUACGAAAGCAUGGGGAGCAAACAGGAUUAGAUACCCCAGUAGUCCCUGUUCUUAUACC